rnacentral:lncRNA from 1 species
AUAGGGUGAUGAGAAAUAACAAAGCAAGAAACUAGCUACGAUGCGGAUUGAGAAGAGUAUUGAAAGAUUCUUUCAUUCCUGAUGGUCCAGAUUAGACAAAGGAGCAUGGCCAGGAGAAAGCAAUCCUCCUUCUCUACCCUAGUAAUGGACAUGAGGUCCACCAAACCCCGCAGAGAGGAGGGCUGCCGAUUACCUAUAGCAGCAAGAUCCAGCUACCGCCAGUAAUUUAAGACAAAGGAACACUCGAAAAGAACAUGAUUGAUGUCCUCAAUGGUAUCAGUGCACACGUCACACAUAAUCUGAGAAUCAGGAACAAUACCUCUAUAGGCCAAUAGAUAUUUGCAAGGCAACCUAUUCCACACC